AUCUAGUCUGAUGGUAGUGGGUUAUCAGAAAAACUAUUAAUAUUGGUGUCAUUACGUUGGUAAACAACCCCCCACUUCUGGAUUUGACUGGUUAUAA
ensembl:misc_RNA Y_RNA Y RNA